CGGGGUAUAGCGCAGUUCGGUUAGCGCACCUGCUUUGGGAGCAGGGGGCCGUAAGUUCGAAUCUUACUACCCCGA
rnacentral:tRNA from 1 species